GCCAGACUCCUACGGGAGGCAGCAGUGGGGGAUAUUGCACAAUGGGGGGAACCCUGAUGCAGCGACGCCGCGUGGGUGAAGGAGCGUUUCGACGCGUAAAGCCCUAUCGGCAGGGAAGAAGGAGGACGGUACCUGACUAAGAAGCCCCGGCUAACUACGUGCCAGCAGCCGCGGUAAUACGUAGGGGGCAAGCGUUAUCCGGAUUUACUGGGUGUAAAGGGGGCGCAGGCGGCAGCGCAAGCCAGGAGUGAAAGCCCGGGGCCCAACCCCGGGACUGCUCUUGGAACUGCGCGGCUGGAGUGCAGGAGGGGCAGGCGGAAUUCCUGGUGUAGCGGUGAAAUGCGUAGAUAUCAGGAGGAACACCAGUGGCGAAGGCGGCUUACUGGACGGCAACUGACGCUGAGGCUCGAAAGCGUGGGGAGCAAACAGGAUUAGAUACCCUGGUAA
rnacentral:rRNA from 1 species